rnacentral:ribozyme from 1 species
UGCUCAGCACCUCCUAUCCCUACCUCCUCUUGGUACUGGCAACCCCGGAGCAAUCUUGAGGAAGAUCGGGUAACCAACCCUGGUGGGAACUUUGGUCGUAUGCUGACAGGGAAGG